AACGGUCUAUACCUGCGGUACCUGCGGAAGGAUCAUUACUGAGUGAGGGCCCCUCGGGGUCCAACCUCCCACCCGUGUUUAACGAACCUUUGUUGCUUCGGCGGGCCCGCCUCACGGCCGCCGGGGGGCUCCUGCCCCCGGGCCCGCGCCCGCCGAAGCCCCCCCUUGAACGCUGUCUGAAGUUUGCAGUCUGAGAAACUAGCUAAAUUAGUUAAAACUUUUAGCAACGGAUCUCUAGAU
rnacentral:misc_RNA from 1 species